rnacentral:rRNA from 1 species
GACGAACGCUGGCGGCGUGCCUAAUACAUGCAAGUAGAACGCACAGUUUAUACCGUAGCUUGCUACACCAUACACUGUGAGUUGCGAACGGGUGAGUAACGCGUAGGUAACCUGCCUGGUAGCGGGGGAUAACUAUUGGAAACGAUAGCUAAUACCGCAUAAUAUUGAUUAUUGCAUGAUAAUUGAUUGAAAGAUGCUAUUGCAUCACUACCAGAUGGACCUGCGUUGUAUUAGCUAGUAGGUGAGGUAACGGCUCACCUAGGCGACGAUACAUAGCCGACCUGAGAGGGUGAUCGGCCACACUGGGACUGAGACACGGCCCAGACUCCUACGGGAGGCAGCAGUAGGGAAUCUUCGGCAAUGGACGAAAGUCUGACCGAGCAACGCCGCGUGAGUGAAGAAGGUUUUCGGAUCGUAAAGCUCUGUUGUAAGAGAAGAACGGGUGUGAGGGUGGAAAGUUCACACUGUGACGGUAUCUUACCAGAAAGGGACGGCUAACUACGUG